rnacentral:rRNA from 2 species
GUUGACCUCGGAUCAGGUAGGGAUACCCGCUGAACUUAAGCAUAUCAAUAAGCGGAGGAAAAGAAACCAACAGGGAUUGCCUCAGUAACGGCGAGUGAAGCGGCAAGAGCUCAAAUUUGAAAGCUGGCCCCCUCGGGGUCCGCAUUGUAAUUUGCAGAGGAUGCUUCGGGAGCGGCCCCCAUCUAAGUGCCCUGGAACGGGCCGUCAUAGAGGGUGAGAAUCCCGUCUGGGAUGGGGUGUCCGCGCCCGUGUGAAGCUCCUUCGACGAGUCGAGUUGUUUGGGAAUGCAGCUCUAAAUGGGUGGUAAAUUUCAUCUAAAGCUAAAUACUGGCCGGAGACCGAUAGCGCACAAGUAGAGUGAUCGAAAGAUGAAAAGCACUUUGAAAAGAGAGUUAAACAGCACGUGAAAUUGUUGAAAGGGAAGCGCUUGCGACCAGACUCGCUCGCGGGGUUCAGCCGGCAUUCGUGCCGGUGUACUUCCCCGCGAGCGGGCCAGCGUCGGUUUGGGCGGCCGGUCAAAGGCCCUCGGAAUGUAACGCCCCCCGGGGCGUCUUAUAGCCGAGGGUGCCAUGCGGCCAGCCCGGACCGAGGAACGCGCUUCGGCUCGGACGCUGGCAUAAUGGUCGUAAGCGACC